GACGAACGCUGGCGGCGUGCUUAACACAUGCAAGUCGAACGGAAAGGCCCUGCUUUUGUGGGGUGCUCGAGUGGCGAACGGGUGAGUAACACGUGAGUAACCUGCCCUUGACUUUGGGAUAACUUCAGGAAACUGGGGCUAAUACCUGAUAGGAGCUCCUGCUGCAUGGUGGGGGUUGGAAAGUUUCGGCGGUUGGGGAUGGACUCGCGGCUUAUCAGCUUGUUGGUGGGGUAGUGGCUUACCAAGGCUUUGACGGGUAGCCGGCCUGAGAGGGUGACCGGCCACAUUGGGACUGAGAUACGGCCCAGAAUGCAAGGGGAGGCAGCAGUGGGGAAUAUUGCACAAUGGGCGGAAGCCUGAUGCAGCAACGCCGCGUGCGGGAUGACGGCCUUCGGGUUGUAAACCGCUUUCGCCUGUGACGAAGCGUGAGUGACGGUAAUGGGUAAAGAAGCACCGGCUAACUACGUG
rnacentral:rRNA from 1 species